CGGGGUGUAGCUCAGCCUGGUAGAGCACUGUCUUCGGGAGGCAGGGGUCGUGAGUUCAAAUCUCGCCAUCCCGACCA
rnacentral:tRNA from 6 species